CCCUUAGAUGUUCUGGGCCGCACGCGCGCUACACUGACGAAUGCAACGAGCUUAUAACCUUGGCCGAAAGGUCUGGGUAAUCUCCAAAUUUCGUCGUGAUGGGGAUAGAUUAUUGCAAUUAUUAAUCUUCAACGAGGAAUGCCUAGUAAGCGCAAGUCAUCAGCUUGCGUUGAUUACGUCCCUGCCCUUUGUACACACCGCCCGUCGCUCCUACCGAUUGAAUGGUCCGGUGAAGCGUUCGGACCGUGGCCUUUGGACGGUUCGCCGUCUGUUGGCUGCGGGAAGUUCGUUAAACCUUNUNAUUUAUNGGAAGGAGAANUCGUANCA
rnacentral:rRNA from 1 species